GCAUCGAUGGCUCAGUGGCAGAGCAGGGGGGCGUUGAUCAGCCCGAUACGGCCCGGGUUCGAGCCCCGGUCGAUGAG